AGUGAACGCUGGCGGUAGGCCUAACACAUGCAAGUCGAACGGCAGCACAGUAAGAGCUUGCUCUUACGGGUGGCGAGUGGCGGACGGGUGAGGAAUACAUCGGAAUCUACUUUUUCGUGGGGGAUAACGUAGGGAAACUUACGCUAAUACCGCAUACGACCUACGGGUGAAAGCAGGGGAUCUUCGGACCUUGCGCGAUUGAAUGAGCCGAUGUCGGAUUAGCUAGUUGGCGGGGUAAAGGCCCACCAAGGCGACGAUCCGUAGCUGGUCUGAGAGGAUGAUCAGCCACACUGGAACUGAGACACGGUCCAGACUCCUACGGGAGGCAGCAGUGGGGAAUAUUGGACAAUGGGCGCAAGCCUGAUCCAGCCAUACCGCGUGGGUGAAGAAGGCCUUCGGGUUGUAAAGCCCUUUUGUUGGGAAAGAGAAGCAGCAGGUUAAUACCCCGCUGUUCUGACUGUACCCAAAGAAUAAGCACCGGCUAACUUCGUG
rnacentral:rRNA from 1 species